ensembl:lncRNA novel transcript
AGCUCCCUUCCCGGCGGCCUUUGCGGGAACAAGAUGGCAGCCCUCAUACCUCAAGGGUUCUCUUGUUUAUCGAGGGUUUUGGGCUGGUGGUCUCGGCAGCCAGUUCUGGUGACUCAGUCCGCAGCUAUAGUUCCAGUAAGAACUAAAAAACGUUUCACAUCUCCUAUUUAUCAACCUAAAUUUAAAACAGAAAAGGAGUUUAUGCAACAUGCCCGGAAAGCAGGAUUGGUUAUUCCUCCAGAAAAAUCGGACCGUUCCAUACAUCUGGCCUGUACAGCUGGUAUAUUUGAUGCCUAUGUUCCUCCUGAGGGUGAUGCACGCAUAUCAUCUCUUUCAAAGGAGAGAUGAUAGAGAGAACUGAUAGAGAGAACUGAACGAAUGAAGAAGACUAUGGCAUCACAAGUGUCAUUUUAUUGGCUGGGUGCGGUGGCUCACGUCUGUAAUCCCAGCACUUUGGGAGGCUGAGGUGGGCAGAUCACCUGAGGUCAGGAAUCGAAAACCAGCCUGACCAACGUGGAGAAACCUCGUCUCUACUAAAAAUGCAAAAUUAGCCGGGCGUGGUGGCACAUGCCUGUAAUCCCAGCUACUCAAGAGGCUGAGGCAGGAGAAUCGCUUGAACCUGGGAGGCGGAGGUUGCGGUGAGCUGAGAUCGUGCCAUUGCACUCCAGCCUGGGCAACAAGGGCGAAACUCUGUCUCAAAAAAUAAUAAUAAUAAAAAAGAUUUUAUCAUAUCACCUUCCUGCUUAGAACUCUUUUAUGGCUUCCUGUUAACCAAAGAAUAAAAUCCAGAUAUCUUCAGUGGUA